UACGGAGGGUGCAAGCGUUAAUCGGAAUCACUGGGCGUAAAGCGCACGCAGGCGGAUUGUUAAGUCAGGGGUGAAAUCCCGCGGCCCAACCGUGGAACUGCCUUUGAUACUGGCGAACUUGAGUGCGUGAGGGGUAGGGGGAACGAGCAGUGUAGCGGUGAAAUGCGUAGAUAUUGCUCGGAAGGCCAGAGCCGAAGGGGCCCUACUGGUGCGCAACUGACACUGAGGCACGAAAGCGUGGGGAGCAAACAGG
rnacentral:rRNA from 1 species